UACGUAGGGUGCAAGCGUUGUCCGGAAUUAUUGGGCGUAAAGCGCACGCAGGCGGGUGCGCGCGUGGGGUGUGAAACCUGGCCGCUUAACGGCCAGCGGCCAUCCCAUACGGCGCGCCUGGAGCCUUGCGAGAGGGCGGUGGAAUUGCCGGUGUAGUGGUGAAAUUCGUAGAUAUUAGCUAGAACACCAGUGGCGAAGGCGGACCAACGUGGUCCGAGUACUGAC
rnacentral:rRNA from 1 species